GGCUGGUGGUGGUGCCACCUCAGUGCCAGGACGAGGAGGCAUGGACGCUUCGGGUUGGGGACGCCUCACCUUUCCGCAGAGCUCUCUGAGUCAGCAGAGAGGGAAACAGGGUUUUCUGAGGCAAGGAAUACCAUUCUGUAUUUUGCAGAGGAGAAGGUCUCACUGUGGCAGAAAGGAGGUAAGAAAAAACAGCUUUCCCCUUUGCUUCUCUCCAACACUGAGCAACAAAACAGGGGUUUGGUUUUGCUUUGCUUUGGGCAGGCCCUGCAAGGGGAAGGGAAAUCUUCUAGACAGCAGCCUCUGUGUGACCUUUGGAUGUUUGCUAUCAUCUUGUACUCCCUCUUGGGGUUGAUCGACUGUGUGUGUGUGUGUGUGUGUGUGUGUGUGUACAUAAGCAAUGAAGUGGGUUAAAAGGUGUUCUUUUAAAGCCUCCUUAGCCAGGGAACAGCCACAAGGAGGAAGGAAGAAAACGAUCAUCACAUUUUGGCCAAGAGAAAGAGCUCCAGUUAGUGGAAUCAUUUCUUAACUUGUAUGUCCUCUAUGAAAUGGUUGUGCCUGGAUCUAUCAUUACUACCAGACUGACUUCCUUUGAAAACAGGCCUGGCCAAUUUUUUCAUUUUAUGAGCCAAAGUAAAAGGGACAUGUGGCAGAUCCAUAACCUUUUGGUUUGGCAAAAGGUAGCAGGGAGAAUGUGGGGUGGGAGGAUUAAGCUCAUUUCUCACAAACUAAUUUAAAUCUCUCUCUCCUUGGUCCCUCAAGCUGCUAUUAGCCAAAGAAAGGAGGAAAGACAGCAACCUGCUUGAACUUGUCUCUUCUUCCCACUCUCAAGAUUAUCGACAGCUUGGAGACCAAAGGAUUUAAAUUAGGGAAGUUGCACAAGUGAAAAGAAGAGGUUAAACAACCUCCUUCGUCUGCAGUCCUGAUCUGAAAUCAUAUCUCCCCCCAACUGCAUGGCUGCUGUUAACCUUGGAGGGGUGAAAUACAGGUUACUAUGGUGCAUUUGUCAUUUCAUUCCCAGCUUGACUGUUAGGAGCUUUAGUAGAAGGUACAAUCCAAGGAAACAAUAUGAGGGUGAAAGAGUUAAACUCCCCCCCCCUCCACACACACACACACGUGCCAAGUGAAUGAAUCAUAUGCACUUGGGUAUGGUGAAAGAAUCACAUUUCUCAUUGCAUUUCAUCCAUAACAUGGUCAUGUGAAUUUUCUCUCCUGCCUCUUGAGAAAGAUUUUCUCUUCCAUAUUAACUAGGUUAAAAUUCAGCAAGGCUGCCUCAGUUCACGUAAAAUCUUUUUAAAAAACUGGGUUGGAAUGAUUCCUGAUGGUAAUCCUGUUUUAAAAUAAUUGUCCCUUCCUCUUUACUACUAGGGGUCCAAUAGAAAAGAAUGGGUGUCACUUAUAUUGAAAAGGAAUUGUUUGUAUAAUAAAUCCCAACAGAACAACUUCCUUUUGUUAUGGAACUGAGGGCAGUCAUUCCUAAAUAAAGAAGUAAGAGGAGCCUUCCUCAACCUGCUGCUUUGCAGAUGUUUUUUUGGGUGGCCAGGUGUGGAAGGAUCCCUGGUGGCACAUUGUUUAAAUGCUGGUACUGCAGCCACAACUUUGUGAGUUCGAUCCCAGGGCUCCAAGCCUGUCAUCCUUUCAUAGGUUGGUAAAAUGAGUUCCCAGUUUAUUGGGGGAAAUUGGCUUACAGAUUGUAAACUACUUAAAGAGUCCUGGGUUCACUAUUACGGCUGAUAAGAGUUGUAAUCCCAAAUAUCUGGGACGUUCAGAGUUGGGAAAGGCUCUUUCAUAGCAGAGUGGUGAAGAGAACAAAAGCCAGCUCCCACAUCAGUUAUCCUAACUCAAAGCAAAGCUUUAAUAUAUGAACAUAUGUAUACGAUUUUUCCCAUUACACUUGCUUCUACGCACCACUUCUAAAAGUUGCUUUCCUGGGCUACAAUUGACAGAAUCAUGCUGACUGUGGGAUUCUGGGAGUAGUAGUCCCAUAGGAAACCUUUGUAUGCACCACUUUUCUUUAGAGUUUUCUUAAAUCUCCUUGGGUCCUGAAAAAAUAUAUGGUAGUGAAAUCAUAUUUAAGAUCUGCUGGAUUUUUAAUUUUUAUUUUUAUUGCAGAUUAUAUCAAACAAUCAAACUGGGUUUUUUUAGUGGAAUUCAUUAACAAGAAUUUGAUCAGGUAAUAUUGUGCGAAUAUGGAACUCAUAUCAAACUGACUAUGGCUAACUAAAAUUAGGCCAGGACAAUGGCAGCUUGUGGAUACUACACUGGCCACAUUCUGCCCCAGAUUGGCCCCAGACCAACCAUGAUGGUGACCACAUGCACCAAGUCAAAUCCAGUGUGACACCACGUCUUUGUGCACACAGACCAGCCAUGCCAACACCUCAUUGGUACCACUGGCCCACCCCAUUUAUGGAGUUGCCACUGCCACUUCCUCAUGGGCAGAAGCUCUGUGCAAAGCCUGCCUGGUUCAUUGCAGCUUCUGCUGAGGGCAAAAAUGGAAGUCUGGACUCCUUGUUGAUCCUGCCUGAGGGAAAGUGGCAACAGUAGCUCCAAAAACCGGGCAUCCCCUUUCCCUGCACUGCUCAGCAUGGGGAAGGGGGGAAGCAUGGUUCUUGGCAUGUGGACAACUGAAUUGGACCCAAUCCACCUGUCCACAUGCCAAAGGAACAUGAAGUCAGUCACUCUAGGCUUUCUGGGAAACACCAGGAUUUCCCCUGAUUUUGCUUAGUUCAGAGCAAAGUUGGGUUAAGGGCAACUUCCCUCCCCAAAAAAACCCUAUAUCCUCCCUCUAAGUAGGCGUACAUCAUCAGGACUUCCAGCACCAGUUUCACGGUGAGUACAGACUUUUUCGUCUUUGUAGAGAAGCCCUGUUUCAGUGGAACAGUGAAUCUACUCCAGAGUUUAGUCCAACAUUUAAAGGAAUUUUCCAGGGUGCUGAUUCCCAACCUCAAAUUAGGUUCCACACCUUGUAUAGCUCUUUUAAAGAUCAGAUUAAAACCCAUUAUAGACUUAUCAUAACACUGACCUUAGAAUUACCAGCAGUCAGGGCCAGUAUAUCCAUCUCAGUCUUCUAAAGGUAAAAAACGGGGUAAUAAUGCUGGCCUGGUUUGCAGAAAUUGUAAGGAUUAUUGAAAUAAUUCUAGCAAGCAUGCUGUGUGUGUACAGUUCAGUCUCAACUAAAUUUAUGCAGAAGCCAUUUCAACUACCAUAAAUUUAGUAGAAUUUCCUUUUUAGUAAAUUUAGGAAUGGUCCCUAGAAGAAAUAAUGUAGGCCCACUCAUCAGGUGCCUGGUUUGAAUUUGUCUGGUUUUUUUCUUCUUGUUGCUUUAGACUGUCUUCGAAACCUGUUCCCAUAUAAAUAUUGCUGCAGUUGUUUUGUAAUUCUUAUUAUUAUAGAUUGACAUGAAAGCAACAAGCAAUUGCACGUUAAUAUGUUGCCACAAAUACCUUUGCCUUUCUCAUCCUGGACUGCACAAUAAGCUUUUCCUUCUCUGUUUUGGUUUCAUAGAAGGCAGUGUUUGGUUUUAACUAAGUCAAGAUAAUUUAAGACAUAAAACACAAAAAGGGAGAAAGGGAGUUUGAUAAUUGUCAGUGGUGAUGCCAAAGAAAAGAAGACUGAAGUAUUCAUUUUAAUUGUAAUACUGCCAAUCCUAAAUAGUGACCAUUCAUAAAUUAAUGUUAUCUAACCAGUUAUUCCAGAUUCCAAGAAGCAUAUAUGCAAGCGAGAGCCUCUCAUCCAAGAAAGAGGAAGCCAGAACUAAAAGGGAGAAAUGAUAUUUCUUUGGCAUGUUUUUGUUCUCUGUUUUUGCUCAUUGUGGGUUUGGUUUCAUUUGAUGAACUGGAGUGAAAUGAAUCAUGCCCAAGUCAAAAAAAAAAGACAGUGCUGUUCUGGUCCAUAGCUCACCACAGACGACUUUAGAUUAUUCACAAGGCUUCCUGUUUUUCCAGGACUGACUGUCUUAACUUUAUGCAUCUGGGUACCCCAGCGACUUCAUUAGCUUUACGUUUAUGCUGAAAUUUUCACUGGAAGAGGGGGAGGGGUUCUGUUUGUAUAUUCUUUUGAUCCACUAAUAAAUGUGAGAGAGAUGUUUAAAACUGGCAAAAGUGACACAGUUCUCAAACCAUUGCAUGCACACUUGAUUGUUCAGAAAAAGAGGCAAUUAAAAAGCUUCUUCAUGUUUACCUCAUGGCAAAGUAAGUCUCAGUGGCAAUGCCAAUAGCCUGCUGUUUUCCAUUCAGGUCACCCAUAAUUUUCAAUGUUUUUUACAUAGUUAUUGUGAACAUUGGCUUAAUUCUCACCACAAUGGGUUAUACCCAGGUCUUAGAAAAGAAAAUAAUUUUAUGGAUCACAACAUCCAAAUCUCCCAGCCAUUAUGGCCAUGGUUUGGGUAUACCACUUCAAGAUGGGGCCCACAUAACCCUUGGUAAGUUAAUACUUAUAUAAACUCUAUUGGUUUAAUGUGUCUACUGUUGUUGGGAGAUAAUGACUGGACUUAAGCUUUUGUGUGUUAUUUAUUUAUUUAAUGAAUUUAUACCCCAUCUUUUCCCCAAGAUGGCAUUAUUUGGACAGUCUGAGUGCUGCACGCGUAUUCAAAAUUUCCCUGCAGUCAGAAAAGUAGGAUGUCAGGGAAAACUAGUCAUAGUGGAUAUGCACAUUUGUUAGCAUGCCCUGCAUACCCAGCACUGUAUUUUGGGAUCCCCAUAUUUCAUAUCUGAAGAUUGCAUGUUUUUGAGAGAUCAUGAUCUUUCAGCAAUACUAAGUCAGGUUCCCAUUAGGAAAGGAGUGUGUGCCGAGGCAUGUGCACACCCAGGUAAAUAAAACAAUCAAAUCCAGAUCAGUGUAUUAAGUGCUCCUUCUUUCCUUUAAGUCAUAUCCAUUUCCUCUUACAACUUGAGACAAAGGAUCUCCUUGUAUUCAAAGCAGUAACCCCAUCGAUACUCCCUGUUGUGUUCCCAGUUAAACUUCCCUGUCUAUCCAUCUUGAUGAUAUCCUGAUCCAACUGCUGUUUUUGUUACAUUAAAGUCAAAGUUGUCAACCAAUCAAGAAUCCCAUUAUCAAUUCCUGGGAAAUAUUAUCCAGAUUUUGUUACCUAGCAAUAUAGCCCACACCUUGAGGAUAUAUUUUAGGUAUAAGUAUGGUUCCAAAACCUAACCUUUAUGCACACAGCCAGCAUACACCUCCACACUUUGUGUAUAUCCUGUGUCACCCUCAGACCUCCCAGUCUGACCCACUCCAGCUUUCCUUACGCUACUCAUUGGACAGAUAAUUAUCACCCCCUCAAAUUCCUCAAACUCUGCCACCCUAUUUCCAUUUUAGUUAGUCCUUUUUGAUGAGUUUGUGUGGAUUGCUAUUGUGUGUAUGUUUGAUUGCACUUGCAUAUUUUCUAGAUAAAACUCUCUUAAUUCACACCAAACCUGGAGUUCUCCUCAUUUAGUACUGGUGUAAACAGGUGCAAAUCGACCAAAAGUUACCCAAGCAUCUUGCAAAAUUUAAUUUCCCCAACAUUUUAAAUAAUGCUGAUGGUGGGGAACCUCCAAUCCCCUCCUCCACACACAUACACAUUUCUUUGGAUAACACACUAACAAUAAAACCGAUGUUGUCCUAGGGAAGGAAAUAGUUGUAUCAGUACACAGAGGUCUCCUGUAGAGCUUUUGCGACUGAGAGAAGAAAAUGCGUAGCAUAAACCUUUGCAGACACAGUCUAUUUUAUAAUCUAAUGCAAUAAGUACUCCUUGCAGCCAAAUGCUCUUGGUACAGGUGGCUCUCCUGCUAAAAAAUGUAUUCAUGUAGAUUCUGGGAAGAUAAUUACAUAUAGUUAAGGUAUGACAUUUUACAGAUGGGGAUGAUAGAUCUUGUCCAUUUGACUGCUUCAGCCCAUUGGCUCAGGCUGCCAUCUGCAGUUAAGGUACACAGAAUUUUAUUCUCCAGUCACAUUAUAUUUUUCAGGAAUGUAGCCCUUUUACCAGGGCAAUUGCAACAUUGUAUUAAAAACCUUUAAAUAUGUUUAUGUGCUUAUUAUUUAAAUGAGUGUUGAUAUUUUCAUGUUGUGUUUAGAUUGUUUUACUUGUUUACUAACCCAAGAUUGGUGUUGUAGAUGAGAAAUUAAAUAAACUUUGAGUGAAAAGGUAA